rnacentral:rRNA from 1 species
CAGCCGCCGCGGGAAUACAGAGGGUGCAAGCGUUAAUCGGAUUUAUUGGGCGUAAAGGGCGCGUAGGUGGUUAUGUAAGUGAGAUGUGAAAUCCCCGGGCUCAACCUGGGAACUGCAUCUUAUACUGCGUAGCUGGAGUGCAGUAGAGGGUAGUGGAAUUUCCGGUGUAGCGGUGAAAUGCGUAGAUACCGGAGGGAACACCAGUGGCGAAGGCGGCUACCUGGACUGACACUGACACUGAGGCGCGAAAGCGUGGGGAGCAAACAGGAUUAGAUACCCGAGUAGUCCCUGUCUCUUAUAC